rnacentral:rRNA from 1 species
UACGUAGGGGGCUAGCGUUGUCCGGAAUCAUUGGGCGUAAAGCGCGCGUAGGCGGCCCGGUAAGUCCGCUGUAAAAGUCAAAGGCUCAACCUUUGAAUGUCAGUGGAUACUGCCGGGCUAGAGUCCGGAAGAGGCGAGUGGAACUCCUGGUGUAGCGGUGGAAUGCGCAGAUAUCAGGAGGAACACCGGUGGCGAAGGCGGGUCUCUGGGCAGUAACUGACGCUGAGGAGCGAAAGCGUGGGGAGCGAACAGG